rnacentral:misc_RNA from 1 species
GACCAUCAAGCUACAAAAAAGCUUGCAGAGAACUAUUUGCUUCUACAAUAUCUAAAAGCUCACAUGCUUUAUCAACCGUUUCUACUCUACCCCUCCACUACCUGUUGCUGUUGGAACUUUCUGAUUUAAAAUCCCAGUCGUAUCCAUGUACUAGAAGAAAAGACAAAGUGUCAAUAGUUGCCCUAAGAAACAAUUCCAACAAAUAAAUCAAAAGUGGUGCAUAUUUUUAGCCCCAGAAGCAUCCCAAUUGCAUUGCUAACCAAAGUGGGCUGCUUUUCAACCUUUCUUGUUUGUUAUUAUGUAUCUAUUGCAAGGGCUAUUGUUGUGAACUGCUUGCCACAUUAUCAUAGUAAUAUAAUGCAUCAACUAUGAUCUAGGAUGACUGUUAUAAAGUGCAUGCAGGACAAAUAAAUCGAAAC